CUACCGUCUCUCUCCAUGUGACUCGUGGACUUCCCUUUGUCAUCCUAUGCCUGAGAAUAUAUGAAGGGGGCUGGGAAGGCAAAGGGACGUUCAGUUGUCAUCAUUGGCAUCUCUUUUGAU
rnacentral:pre_miRNA from 12 species